AUUGAACGCUGGCGGCAGGCCUAACACAUGCAAGUCGAGCGAGCGGCGGACGGGUGAGUAAUGCCUAGGAAUCUGCCUGGUAGUGGGGGAUAACUACUGGAAACGGUAGCUAAUACCGCAUACCAUCAGAUGAACCCAUAUGGGAUUAGCUUGUAGGUGAGGUAACGGCUCACCUAGGCGACGAUCCCUAGCUGGUCUGAGAGGAUGAUCAGCCACACUGGGACUGAGACACGGCCCAGACUCCUACGGGAGGCAGCAGUAGGGAAUCUUCGGCAAUGGACGAAAGUCUGACCGAGCAACGCCGCGUGUAUGAAGAAGGCCUUCGGGUUGUAAAGUACUUUCAGUCGGGAGGCGUUACCGACAGAAGAAGCACCGGCUAACUCCGUGCCAGCAGCCGCGGUAAUAC
rnacentral:rRNA from 1 species